UGCCGCUUUUAUAUUAUUCAUCAGGAUUAUAGAGAGGUAAAUGAACCCUAAACUGAGAAUAGAGUGGCUAGAACAGAAAUAAGGAUUGUCCACCAUAGAGGGAUUAUUUGAUUUUUUAAGGUUGUCUUUAAGGAUGUGGUGUUUGCAGUUUUCUGAUGAUAAUUAUUGUAAAAGUGGAAAAGGCAAACACUCUCUUCCUAACAGAUAUAAUAAGCCUUUCUACAGGAAGGCAUAUGACAGCAGGAAUAACCUGAACUCUCAGUAUGAGAAAAAUGAAGACACAAAAAAGUAAGAUCAACAUUUUGGGAAAUAUGACCAAAAAGCAUUCCACAUAAGUGAAGAAACUGAAGCUGCACAUGACUUGGAAAAUGCCAAUGGUGACCCAAGCAACCAGGAAGAUUAUUAAGAUUUCUGGCGUACUGAAGGGAAAGCCUUUAAAUGCUAUUCUGGAUAUGGAACUAAUAUAUCUUGUAUCUCAGUGGGCAUUUUUAAACAAUUUAGAUUUCAACUCAUUAUGAAUUUGGCUAUCUCUUUUCAGCAGGUCAGCUCAAAAUCUAAGAGUUUGGGUUGCAUAAAACUGAAACUGGAAAUUGGGAGGAUGACUAAAGAAGUAGAGGCUCAUGUGAUAAGAGGACUUAAUGAGGAUUUUAUUUUGUUGCUCAAUUUAGCUAAAUAUUAUGAAAUAGAGGUGGACAUCAGCCAACACCUCUUAUUCCAGAGCAACUACUGAUCGUGCAGGUGAAUAGAAACAGCAAGCAAAGGGAAGGGGUGCCAUGGGGGAG
rnacentral:lncRNA from 1 species